rnacentral:snRNA from 1 species
ACAUGUGAGGGUGAUCUGGCUAUAACAUCUGUCACCCCAUUGAUCGCAUGGGUUUAUUCAACUGAUCUGUCUGACUAGGCAGGUGUCUCCUUCCUGUCUCACUGUUCCAUGUGCAUCUUUCCUGAAGCUGCUGCUUGAUUGAAGAGGGAGACUUCCCUAACAGAGAAGAACCUUCCUUUGGUGAAGGGUAUACGGAUAGCUGUGCUCCCCUCUAGAACCUCUGAACAAGCUCUCAAAGAUCAAAAUCAUAUAAUAAAAUCAUCAAAUGCUGAUAAAACACUUGACAAAAUCAGCAGUC